AUAGUGCAGCACGGGAGUCCCGAGGAACGUGGGGCUGAGAGGGGGUCACGCCGAACCCGGCCGUCAUACCUGACCCGGAUCACGCCGGCGCAGGAAGUGGAGGUGGGAUUUCG
rnacentral:ncRNA from 1 species